rnacentral:rRNA from 1 species
AGCGAACGCUGGCGGCAGGCUUAACACAUGCAAGUCGAGCGCCCCCGCAAGGGGGAGGCGGCAGACGGGUGAGUAACACGUGGGAACGUACCCUUUGGUUCGGAACAACACAGGGAAACUUGUGCUAAUACCGGAUAAGCCCUUACGGGGAAAGAUUUAUCGCCGAAGGAUCGGCCCGCGUCUGAUUAGCUAGUUGGUGAGGUAACGGCUCACCAAGGCGACGAUCAGUAGCUGGUCUGAGAGGAUGAUCAGCCACACUGGGACUGAGACACGGCCCAGACUCCUACGGGAGGCAGCAGUGGGGAAUAUUGGACAAUGGGCGCAAGCCUGAUCCAGCCAUGCCGCGUGAGUGAUGAAGGCCUUAGGGUU